CUCAUUCACUCAGCCGGUACA
rnacentral:miRNA from 1 species